AAACAAUUUACCACUCAAAAAAAAUACACGUUAUGCUCUCCUCACAUAGAACGGACCAAAAAGAUUUUGUACAGAUGGUACUUAGUCCCAACAAAAUUACAUAAAAUGUUCCCCGCAGUAUCAGAUCACUGCUGGAGAUGUCUGGAAGCUAAAGGCGACAUGCUCCACAUUUGGUGGACCUGCCCACGAUUAUCCACCUAUUGGAAAGAAGUAGCUAACCUAGUAUCAACAGUAACGGAUAUGAAACUCCCCAAAGCCCCAGAAAUAUACCUCCUUCAUAAAUACCCCC